rnacentral:rRNA from 1 species
AUGCCCCUAAGGGCAGGCAAACCGGCCGCUUGCACGGGUCUGUGGCGCACCUUAUACACUGUUGAGCAAAGGACGAUGGAACGCUCUUCAUCUCCUGCCAUGGCACGUUCCUUGGCAAUCCUCGUUAUCAUAUUCAUAUGCUGCUCCCUGCCAUGCUCAACAGCCACACAAGUUCAUCUGGAUGGAAGCCGUCCGAGUGUUGGUCCUCCGUCGCCGCAGGGUGCGAACCCGCAUGGCUGCGUUGGUAGAUGCCAUAACGGGCGCCCAGACACCACAUCUCCGGCAACCGCAGCCCUUACACCGCACCGCAAGACCCUGCAGCAGGCUAUUCUAAAUUGA